AGAAUCAACGCUGGCGGCGUGCCUAAUACAUGCAAGUCGAACGCGAAAGUCCCGCAAGGGGCAAGUAGAGUGGCAAACGGGUGAGUAACGCGUGGGCGACCUACCUUCGAGUGGGGGAUAACCUUCCGAAAGGAGGGCUAAUACCGCAUGACAUCCCGUGUUUGGAUACACGGACAUCAAAGCCGGGGAUCGCAAGACCUGGCGCUUGGAGAGGGGCCUGCGUCCGAUUAGCUAGUUGGUGGGGUAACGGCCCACCAAGGCUUCGAUCGGUA
rnacentral:rRNA from 1 species